rnacentral:rRNA from 1 species
GUAGGUGGCAAGCGUUGUCCGGAAUUAUUGGGGCGUAAAGCGCGCGCAGGCGGUCCUUUAAGUCUGAUGUGAAAGCCCACGGGCUCAACCGUGGGAGGGUCAUUGGAAACUGGGGGACUUGAGUGCAGAAGAGGAGAGUGGAAUUCCACGUGUAGCGGUGAAAUGCGUAGAGAUGUGGAGGAACACCAGUGGCGAAGGCGACUCUCUGGUCUGUAACUGACGCUGAGGCGCGAAAGCGUGGGGAGCGAACAGGAUUAGAUACCCUGGUAGUCCACGCCGUAAACGAUGAGUGCUAAGUGUUAGAGGGUUUCCGCCCUUUAGUGCUGCAGCUAACGCAUUAAGCACUCCGCCUGGGGAGUACGGUCGCAAGACUG